ACAAGUCUGGUAUUGAUAUUUGACAUCACAGCAGAGAGACAAGUCUGGUAUUGAUAUUUGACAUCACAGCAGAGAGGCGAAUCUGGCAUUGAUAUUUGACAUCACAGCAGAGAGACAAGUCUUGUAUUGAUAUUUGACAUCACGUCAGAGACACGCCCUGUGCUCGGCGAUAGCUCAUACUUCACGUCAGACACACCCCGUGUGAGUGGCGAUUGCUGAUAAGCCACAACACAGUCACGCCCUGACAUUGGCGAUCUCUAAU
ensembl:lncRNA